CGAAUUGUUUUCAACUAGCAAUUUUGUAGAUGUAGAAAUUGUCUCUGCUUUGUUAAAGUUUUUUCUACUAAUAACAAAGCUGUCAAUGAGAAUUUCAUAAAAAUGGCAGUAAUGUAAAGCAAUGUUGAGUAAUAUACUUUCUGUUCAACAAAAACUCUCAAAUGUGAAAUCUCAAGAGCCCUUACGUUCGAGAAAGAACUUAUAGUUCCUAGCCAUUUAUAAUACCCGCGGACCUUCACGCCAAUUAUCUUCGGCGUCUGCUAUGUAAAACAUAAACAAUUUAUUUCUGGAAGCAAAACAAUACACAAAAAUCUUUUAUGCGUUGGCAAUUUGUUCAAAACUAACUAAACUUGCCAUGAAAGUUAAACAAUAAA